AGGAGUCAUUUCCAUCUGAAUGUGGCAGCAACGGGACACAGCAGCAGAGCGAGUCCACAUCCAGAAGGCUGGAGCCGUGUUUCACUGACAGGCUGUCAGACUAAAGCCCUGAUGAGCUCAGCUGGGACAAACUGGUCUGAUGUUUAGGAACACAGAACUUUCAGAUGUUGGAGCUUCACAUCACCUACUGAGGAAGGAGACCCACCAGUAAAGAGACGGUCUGGACCAGACCAAAAAUAUGGCGAUGACAUCAUGGAACUGGUCUUUGGAAAAGUUUUCCCUGAACCAACUCCGUUUCUAGAUGAGGUAGAGAAGAUCUGCAUCUCACCAACCCUCUGGUCUCAGUAUUCAGACAACGGAGGUCUCCCACUGUUAUCCAGGACCAGUUUGAAGCCCACAUACUGCC